rnacentral:sRNA from 2 species
CAUUAGUUGCGAUCGAAUUGCGGAAUAUGUGCUGUGGAGAAGCGGGGGAACCAAAGCUGUUCUGGUUCCGGUGUGAGAGCCGGAAUUUUAACAGCAGGGGUGAAUCCUGGAAUUAGUUCAACCAUGGAGAUUCUAAUUCCGGUAGGGCGUCUCUCACCGCCCGAAUCCGACAGCUAACCUCGUAGGCGGAAGUGAAGAGAGGA